UACGUAGGGUGCAAGCGUUGUCCGGAAUUAUUGGGCGUAAAGAGCUCGUAGGCGGUUCGUCGCGUCGGCUGUGAAAUCCCGAGGCUCAACCUCGGGCCUGCACCCGAUACGGGCGGGCUAGAGUUCGGCAGGGGAGACUGGAAUUCCUGGUGUAGCGGUGGAAUGCGCAGAUAUCAGGAGGAACACCGGUGGCGAAGGCGGGUCUCUGGGCCGAUACUGACGCUGAGAAGCGAAAGCGUGGGGAGCGAACAGG
rnacentral:rRNA from 1 species